rnacentral:rRNA from 1 species
UACAUGCAAGUCGAGCGAGGUUACUGUUUUGGAUCCCUUCGGGGUGAAGAAGCUUUAACCUAGCGGCGGACGGGUGAGUAACGCGUGGGUAACCUACCCCAAAGUCCGGGAUAACAGCGGGAAACCGCUGCUAAUACCGGAUGCCUUUACCUUGGGGCAUCUUGAGGUAAAGAAAGGUAACGCUUUGGGAUGGGCCCGCGUCCCAUUAGCUAGUUGGUGAGGUAACGGCUCACCAAGGCGACGAUGGGUAGCCGGCCUGAGAGGGUGGACGGCCACACUGGGACUGAGACACGGCCCAGACUCC